rnacentral:rRNA from 1 species
AUUGAACGCUGGCGGCAGGCCUAACACAUGCAAGUCGAGCGGAUGAAGGGAGCUUGCUCCUGGAUUCAGCGGCGGACGGGUGAGUAAUGCCUAGGAAUCUGCCUGGUAGUGGGGGAUAACGUCCGGAAACGGGCGCUAAUACCGCAUACGUCCUGAGGGAGAAAGUGGGGGAUCUUCGGACCUCACGCUAUCAGAUGAGCCUAGGUCGGAUUAGCUAGUUGGUGGGGUAAAGGCCUACCAAGGCGACGAUCCGUAACUGGUCUGAGAGGAUGAUCAGUCACACUGGAACUGAGACACGGUCCAGACUCCUAAGGGAGGCAGCAGUGGGGAAUAUUGGACAAUGGGCGAAAGCCUGAUACAGCCAUGCCGCGUGUGUGAAGAAGGUCUUCGGAUUGUAAAGAACUUUAAGUUGGGAGGAAGGGCAGUAAGUUAAUACCUUGCUGUUUUGACGUUACCAACAGAAUAAGCACCGGCUAACUUCGUG